UACAGAGGUCUCAAGCGUUGUUCGGAUUCAUUGGGCGUAAAGGGUGCGUAGGUGGCGUCGUAAGUCAGGUGUGAAAUCUCCGGGCUUAACUCGGAACGGUCAACUGAUACUGCUCGGCUAGAGUGCGGAAGGGGCAACUGGAAUUCUUGGUGUAGCGGUGAAAUGCGUAGAUAUCAAGAGGAACACCUGCGGCGAAGGCGGGUUGCUGGGCCGACACUGACGCUGAGGUGCGAAAGCGUGGGGAGCAAACAGG
rnacentral:rRNA from 1 species